UACAGAGGAGCCAAGCGUUGUCCGGAUUGACUGGGCGUAAAGCGCACGCAGGCGGACGCGCGCGUGGGGUGUGAAAUCUGGCCGCUUAACGGCCAGGCGCCAUCCCAUACGGCGCGUCUGGAGUGAUGCAGAGGUCGGUGGAAUUGCCGGUGUAGUGGUGAAAUGCGUAGAUAUCGGGAGGAACACCUGAGGCGAAGGCGGGCUACUGGGCCGAUACUGACGCUGAUGCGCGAAAGCCAGGGGAGCAAACGGG
rnacentral:rRNA from 1 species